rnacentral:rRNA from 1 species
GGGCUAGCGUUGCUCGGAAUCACUGGGCGUAAAGGGUGCGUAGGCGGUUCUUUAAGUCAGGGGUGAAAUCCUGGAGCUCAACUCCAGAACCGCCUUUGAUACUGAAGAUCUUGAGUUCGGGAGAGGUGAGUGGAACUGCGAGUGUAGAGGUGAAAUUCGUAGAUAUUCGCAAGAACACCAGUGGCGAAGGCGGCUCACUGGCCCGAUACUGACGCUGAGGCACGAAAGCGUGGGGAGCAAACAGG